GAACAAGUUACUAAGGGCAUACGGUGGAUGCCUUGGCGUCGGACGGCGAUGAAAGACGUGGUAGGCUGCGAUAAGCCUCGGGGAGCCGUCAAGCAGGCUUUGAUCCGGGGAUUUCUGAAUGGGGAAACCCGCAUGAAGUAAUGUUCAUGCAUGGCUGGAUGAAUUCAUAGUCCAGUACAGGCUAACGGGGGGAAGUGAAACAUCUCAGUACCCCCAGGAAGAGAAAGCAAGCGCGAUUCCCUCAGUAGCGGCGAGCGAACAGGGAUAAGCCCAAACCUCUGUGGUGCAAGCGUGCAGGCGUUGCCACAGGGGGGUCGUGGGAUUCCGUUGGAGGAAGCUGCAAAUUCCUCGGGAAGUUACCAAGCUGAUUUAUAGCAGAAGGAGUUGGGAAACUCCGCCACAGAGAGUGAAAGCCUCGUAAGCGAAAUGGAUCAGCCUUCCUGAAUGGAACACCCAAGUACGGCGGGACACGUGAAACCCCGCUGGAAUUUGCGAGGACCAUCUCGCAAGGCUAAAUACGUGCCGACGACCGAUAGCGAACCAGUACCGUGAGGGAAAGGUGAAAAGUACCCCGUUUAGGGGAGUGAAAUAGUACCUGAAACCGUAUGCUUACAAGCAGUGGGAGGACGUUCAUAGUUUACUAUGAGUCUGACCGCGUGCCUUUUGCAUAAUGAGUCUGCGAGUUACUUUAUGUGGCGAGGUUAAGCCGUUAGGUGUAGCCGUAGGGAAACCGAGUCUUAAAUGGGCGAAUUAGUCGCGUGAAGUAGACCCGAAGCCAAGUGAUCUAUCCAUGGCCAGGUUGAAGCUCCGGUAACACGGAAUGGAGGACCGAACCAGUAUGGGUUGAAAACCGUUUGGAUGAGCUGUGGAUUGGAGUGAAAGGCUAAUCAAACUUGGUGAUAGCUGGUUCUCCCCGAAAUAUAUUUAGGUAUAGCCUCGGGUGAUGAGUGGCGGGGGUAGAGCACUGAAUGAGCUAGGGCUCCUAACAGAGUACCAAACUCAAUCAAACUUCGAAUACCGCCAACUUUAGCCCGGGAGUCAGGCUGCGGGAGAUAAGUUCCGUAGGCAAAAGGGAAACAACCCAGAUCGCCGGUUAAGGCCCCUAAGUGCGCGCUAAGUGGAAAAGGAUGUGGGAAUGCACAGACAGCCAGGAUGUUGGCUUAGAAGCAGCCAUCAUUUAAAGAAAGCGUAAUAGCUCACUGGUCAAGUGAUCCUGCGCCGAAAAUGUAACGGGGCUUAAGCGCGCCGCCGAAACCGCGAGAUGUUUAUACAUCGGUAGGGGAGUAUUCUGUACAGGGAUGAAGCUGGACCGUGAGGACCAGUGGACCUAUCAGAAGAGCAUAUGCAGACAUGAGUAGCGACAAAGCGGGUGAGAAACCCGCUCGCCGGAAGCCUAAGGUUUCCUGAGUAAAGCUAAUCUUCUCAGGGUUAGUCGGUCCCUAAGCCCAGGCCGAAAGGCGUAGGCGAUGGGAAGCGGGUUAAUAUUCCCGCACCACCAGUCCACCGUUAUUACCGACGGGGGGACGCAGAAGGAUAGGUCAGCCUGGAGAGGGCCGCAAGGCGCCAGGUGUAAGCAGGUAGGCUGGAGAGACAGGCAAAUCCGUUUCUCCUUAAAGCUGAGAUGUGAAUACGAGAGGCUUGCCUCAUAAAGUGAUUGAGUCCAUACUGCCAAGAAAAGCCUCUAGGGAGGGGGAUUGGUGACCGUACCGCAAACCGACACAGGUAGGCAGGGUGAGUAACCCAAGGCGCUUGAGAGAACUUCGGCUAAGGAACUCGGCAAAAUUAUACCGUAACUUCGGGAGAAGGUAUGCCCUUUUUCGUCAUGAGCUUCGCGCUCGGCAGCGAAGGAGGGCCGCAGAGAAAUGGGGAUAGCGACUGUUUACUAAAAACACAGGACUCUGCUAAGUCGCAAGACGACGUAUAGGGUCUGACGCCUGCCCGGUGCUGGAAGGUUAAGGGGAGAGGUUAUCGCAAGAGAAGCCUUGAACCGAAGCCCCAGUAAACGGCGGCCGUAACUAUAACGGUCCUAAGGUAGCGAAAUUCCUUGUCGGGUAAGUUCCGACCUGCACGAAUGGCGUAACGACUUUCCCACUGUCUCAGCCGGAGACUCAGCGAAAUUGUAGUGGCGGUGAAGAUACCGUCUACCCGCAGCAAGACGGAAAGACCCCGUGCACCUUUACUAUAGCUUGACAUUGGUUUUAGGGCUAUCAUGUGUAGGAUAGGUGGGAGGCUUUGAAGCCGGGACGCUAGUUUCGGUGGAGCCACCCUUGAAAUACCACCCUUGAUAUCUUUGGAAUCUAACCUUGACCCGUGAUCCGGGCCGGGGACAGUGUCUGGUGGGUAGUUUGACUGGGGCGGUCGCCUCCUAAAGAGUAACGGAGGCGCGCGAAGGUUCCCUCAGGCUGAUUGGAAACCAGCCGCAGAGCGUAAAGGCAUAAGGGAGCUUGACUGCGAGACUGACAAGUCGAGCAGGUACGAAAGUAGGUCUUAGUGAUCCGGUGGUCCCGCAUGGAAGGGCCAUCGCUCAACGGAUAAAAGGUACGCCGGGGAUAACAGGCUUAUCUCCCCCAAGAGUUCACAUCGACGGGGAGGUUUGGCACCUCGAUGUCGGCUCAUCGCAUCCUGGGGCUGGAGUUGGUCCCAAGGGUAUGGCUGUUCGCCAUUUAAAGCGGUACGUGAGCUGGGUUUAAAACGUCGUGAGACAGUUUGGUCCCUAUCUGCUGUGGGCGCAGGAUAUUUGAGGAGAUCUGUUCCUAGUACGAGAGGACCGGAAUGGACGAACCACUAGUGUUCCAGUUGUUUCGCCAGAAGCACCGCUGGGUAGCUAUGUUCGGAACGGAUAACCGCUGAAAGCAUCUAAGCGGGAAGCCAACUCCAAGAUUAGAUAUCCCUCCUCUUUAUGAGGCUGAAGGACCCUUGAAGACCACAAGGUUGAUAGGCUGGAGGUGUAAGCGCAGUAAUGUGUUUAGCUUACCAGUACUAAUAGUCCGUGAGACUUGUUCUU
rnacentral:rRNA from 1 species